AACUAAAGAAAUAUUAAAUAAUUAUAUUAUACACACAUGCACAAAGAUCUACAGAUUCAUCAAAAGAUGAGAUAAUAUCUUAAAACACACUGCCUCCAUGACUCUUCUGGACUGUCAAAGCAUAGCCACUUCAUGUGGUUUCUAAACCAUUAGUUCCCUAACCAAUCAACUUUCGUUAAUGUACCUUUGUUCAUCCACCGUCCCUUGAAAGUAUAUUUUAUUUUAAGUUAUAAAUUCUUCAUGAGUUUACAAUUACACUCUAUUUAACGUCUUCGUCAGACACGAUCAUCCUUUUGCGAUGCGUAUAUGGUGAAACAAACUAAAAGGGUUUAAAUCUAUUAGUUAGUAGGAACUACUAUUAGCUCCCACCAUAUCUAAACACCAAACGUAAAAACUGCAUAAAAAUUGGUUCAUUCAUUCUUUGGUGAAAUAUCAGUUAUAUAUGCUGUUU
rnacentral:lncRNA from 1 species